UGGAGGACUGAGAAAGUUGAGCAGCCUGCAGUGCUGCUAUAACUGGUUAUAGCCUCCUAAAGUAGCUCUUGCCUCUCAAUUC